AUGGGAGAAAUGAGUGUGACCCUGGUGUCUGGAGAAGGCCUGGGACCAUCAGUGUGGGUGCGAAUCUGCAGGGUCCUCGCUGCCAACAGGACCCAAUGUAUCCCCGAUGAGCAUAUCAUCAAUGCAGGGGUGGAUUCUCCGACUGUGGUGACCCAGGAGCCAUCCCUGUCAGUGUCUCCAGGAUGGACUGUCACACUCACCUGUGGCCUCAGCUCUGGGUCUGUCACUACCAGUAACGACCCUGGUUGGAUCCAGCAGACACCAGGCCAGGUGCCCCGCACUCUUAUCUACAGAACAAGCAGCCACCUCUCUGGGGUCCCCAGUCGCUUCUUCGGAUCCAUCUCUGGGAACAAAGCCGCCCUCACCAUCAUGGGGGCCCAACCCAAGGAUGAGGCCGACUAUUACUGUGCUCUGGACAUGGGUAGUGGUAGUUACACUGCCACAGUGAUGUAA